rnacentral:rRNA from 1 species
GACGAACGCUGGCGGCGUGCUUAACACAUGCAAGUCGAACGGAAAGGCCCUGCUUUUGUGGGGUGCUCGAGUGGCGAACGGGUGAGUAACAUGUGAGUAACCUUCCCUUUACUUUGGGAUAACUUCAGGAAACUGGUGCUAAUACCUGAUAGGAGCUCCUGCUGCAUGGUGGGGUUUGGAAAGUUUCGGCGGUUGGGGAUGGACUCGCGGCUUAUCAGCUUGUUGGUGGGGUAGUGGCUUACCAAGGCUUUGACGGGUAGCCGGCCUGAGAGGGUGACCGGGCACAUUGGGACUGAGAUACGGCCCAGACUGCUACGGGAGGCAGCAGGGGGGAAUAUUGCACAAUGGGCGGAAGCCUGAUGCAGAAACGCCGCGUGCGGGAUGACGGCCUUCGGGUUGUAAACCGCUUUCGCCUGUGACGAAGCGUGAGUGACGGUAAUGGGUAAAGAAGCACCGGCUAACUACGUG